CAUGUUCAAGGCAAGGACUUUAGCUGCUAGGCUACUGCGUAGGGCCCGCAGUUUCUUUUUUUUUUUAAUUGUUUAGGUAACUGAGAGGAAUAUACUCUCAUGUGGGCCUCUGAUUCGACUGGGAUGGGUUAGGUAUGUAGAAUGGUGGGUGGGACAAGUUUAUGUUUCAAUUUGUGUUUUCUGCUGUGUGCACAUGGGAGGAGGAGGAUGAGGAAAAGUCAGCUCCUGUGUCAAAUGAUAGCUGUGAGAAGUUGUUAUGCUGCAGGGUUGAGAAAAUCUUUCCAAGGUCUGCUGGCUGACAAAGUCCAUCCCAGUGUAUCCACAGAUCCAGGAACAUGCAGCAAAGCUUGGCCAGGAGAAUUGUCGAACCUUUUUGGCUUUCCAUUCAAAGACAUGGCACUUAAUGUCCCUUGCUGGCCUAGAUGAGCUGCCCCAUAUGUCUCUUGCAUCUGGACAUGCUGUUAACUGCACAGGCAUCAGCAACUGAGGAGGCUCCAUCCCAAUACAUACACUCCAGGAUCGGACCAUACGUACUAUGAUUUUCGCUGUGGGUUGGGGUAGAGAAAAGUCUCCCAAAAAACCUUGUGUGGGGUGACUUCAGACUUGACUCUUAAUAUGUUCCAGCCAGUGCAGGGUCAGGUACAGUUUGUCAGCUAAAGCACGUAGUAAUGGGAUGCAGCUGUUUCAUCCCAGUCCCAUACCUCCUGCAUACCAGUGAUGCUGUGACCUAGUUGGGGUGACCUGUAAUAACUUCCACUAGACCUGUCCCCAGCCCUGGUUUUUGCGCAUGCCAGCCUCUGCUGCAGCCUAGCCCGGCCCAACCAGAUUCCAACCUUCUCUGUUGCAUACCAUUGGUGCCAUGGCUUACCUCAGCCCACCCUGCCUCCAGACCUGGCUCUCAGGUAUGCCAACAGGUGUUGCUGCCUUGUCCAACCUGGCCCACAUCCAGCCCUAGUUCUCAUAAUCCCAGCCCCAGAUCUUUCACCUGCCAGAGUGUAGGUGCUACCGUCAGCAUUAUAUGAGUUGCAGCAGUUUCUGGCACUUGACAGCUGGUGUGGCUGUCUAGCUGGGCUGGCCCACACUCUUCCCCCUCUUGUGUUCACUAGCAGUCAAAGCAACCUAGCCAAGCCUGAACCAUCCCUCUUCCAGCUCUCACGCUCGUCUGUAGUAGCAGCAGCUCAGCAGUAUGGUUCUAGAGGUUACCCUGCUGGGCCUGCUCCCCGGCCCUGGGUUUUGCACCUGUCAUCGGGUGCUCUGGCACAGGCUAACAUGGCCUGCCCCCAAAUGGAAGAUACUUCUUUGAACACAGUCUUACUCUGAGCCUGGGUAGCCAUAAUCUUGCUUUUGACCAAAGGUAGAUUCGGCAGUACAGUCUUAUCCUGAGCACUGUGACUUAUAGUCCAGGAUGGGGCACAUUGGAAAUUUUGGCCAUUUUCACUUCUGAUGGCAAAUGUAAGAAAAUGUGAAUCUGCAGUUACCUGUUGUCGUGUCUCCUGCUUUAUGGAAGAAGGUGGGUAGGAGGAGACAGUCAAGCUGUUGGAGAGUAGUUGUGUUUUAUUAGUAGUUUUUGGAGCUGUGUGAAUUCCACUUGAGGCUUGAGUAUUCCACUCUUGUUCAGGUCCUGGAGAAAGGCAUGUGUUGCCUCAGUAAGGCCUCUUUUGCCAGUUUGUACAGUUCUGCCUUAAAAAUUUUAUAAGAUUGUAUUCAUUAAUACAUUGUUAAUAAAGACUGGUUUAUAGCAGCUACGGAAGUACGCAGUGUUAAGCAGUCCUGGCCCUGUCAGGGAAGUGGGCCUCGGGCUCUUCGUGGUGGAGUCAGGUGAAGGACAUUGCUAGAGAUGACUUCAUGGGUCUGGGCUCUGCAGACUGAGCAGCAGUUGCAAAACAGAUGGUGCUUGUCAGCUAUGUUUGUCUUUAUGUGACAAGUGGACUCAUGAGGUACUUUGAAGGCUUGAAUAUUAUCUACGGUUCUUUCGUAUCACUUACUACUUUUGCUCCUAAGCAGACUAGGUAUUCUUCAAAUACUAGCAUAGGUUAGAAAUCAGAUCCCUCCCCUGCCCCACUGGCAUUUUUAGGCUUUCUUAAAUUACUAAAAUGAUGAUGAAAUGUUGACUGUUUGGAAGAUGGGUUGACAUAGGGCAUAUUUUAAAUGGGUUUUGCAAUAAAUAGGAUGGAUUGGAUUAUACUGUAGUAACAACUCAAAAAUAAAUAUUAGUUGUAGAUAAUGCAGCUGUUGGUUCCGCUGCACAGCUGCUCUUUGAGAUGCUCACAUUCUCUGGUGUUCCCAGGGUGCUUAUUGAAGCUAAAGCUGACAGUGAGCUGGCCUCUAUGUUCUCUCAUAUUUCCCCCAGGAGUGAUCAUUUCUGCCCAUAUUUCCUUGACCACAAUAAAUUAUGAAAAUUCCCGGUGGUUUAAAAGUGCCAUCUAGGGUGAGCACUGUGGUAUGCUUAGCUACUGUUUGGGACACCUGUCUGUGUUAAUAGAUGCAGCUCAAGUCUCAGCCCCUCCAGGCUUCAGCUCCAGCUAUCUGCGCCUGGGAAGGUAGUAUAUGAUGGCCCAGCUACUUGUGUUUAUGCCCCCUUGUGGGAGAACUGAAUAGAGUGUUUGCCUUCUGGUUUUAGACUGACCUAGUCCCAGACAUUUGAGAUGUGAUUCAAUAGAUGGAAAAUUUCUUUCUCGCUCAGAUUCUGCCUUUCAAAUAAUUAUUAAGAAAAUAAAAAGUACCAUCUUACAGUUUUUAUGGGAAGACAACAAAUCAAAUACUUAUGGUUUACAGGCUAUUUUUUCUGUUUUUAAGGAAAAGUAAAAGGCUCAUCUUUGUGCCCGAAAGGCAGAGUUACAGAGAGCAGGAGACAAAAGUCUUCCAUUCUCUAGUUUCCCUCUAAAUGUCUGCCAUGGCUGGACUGGGCCAGCCGGUAGCCAGGAGCUUCCCAUACACGUGCCAUUUUUCAUUACCUUCCCAGGUACCGUAGCAGGGAUGUGGAGCAGCACCCAUGGUACAUGAUCCAUUGAGCAUGUAGGAUGCUGAUGGCACAGACGGCCGUUUCACCCACUCUGCUGUAGCGCUAGUCCCAUAAUUAACAUUCUGAAUCACAUAUUUGACAGUUUUUCCCCCCACAUUCUAUUUAAGAUUUAUCUCUAGGGUUAGGAUGUGGUCUCCUUCUCCUACUUAACCAGUCUGGGAUCCUUUCUAAAUUUUUAUUUUGUUUAUGGUAUUCUUCUGCCUCUUUGGUUGUCUUUGCAUAUUGUCUUGUUUGGGAGGACGAAAGUGAUAUGGGGUAACUUGAUGUGAUUUGCAAGUAGCUUGGUGUCUUUCUGACUACAGUUUGAUCCCUUUUGAGAAUACUUUCUAGUGGAAUGGGUUGGGUAGCGUGUAACCAGUUCUGUUCAGUUACAGUAGUUAUUGCUGUAGUCAGGCUGGCUGGAGUUCAGCUACACUGUUUCCUGUCUUCAUCACUGCUUUGGUAAUGGUGGGAGGACCAGUCUGACCCAUGGGGCCUUGUAGCCAUGGGAGGAAAUUGACUGUGUUACGCAUUGGCAGGGUUGUCUUGGUCCAGGGAGAAGCACGGUCUUGCCUAUAGUUGGACGUGGCAAACCUGCAAGUCUCAAUGACACCUGUAUUCUUUCAUGGGCCCUGAAAGUGAGUGUAGAUUUUACAAUUUUAAUAAGCAAGAGUGAGAUGGAUCCCAAAAGUCAUCUUGAAAGCAUACACUGGUAUUAAAAAGUUUGUGUAAAAUGGAAUGAGAAGUAUAUUUUGGUGCAAAAUUUUGAAGUCCACAUGAGGAA